UGCUUAAACGCAAUACGAGAGUAUCCUAGUGGCGAACGGGUGAGUAACGCGUUGGUGACCUACCCCAAAGUGUGGGAUAACAGUCCGAAAGGAUUGCUAAUACCGCAUGUGGUCAUCGGGUUUAGAAACCGAUGUCUAAAGGAGCAAUUCGCUUUGGGAGGGACCUGCGUCCCAUCAGCUAGUUGGUGAGGUAAUGGCUCACCAAGGCGACGACGGGUAGGGGACCUGAGAGGGUGGCCCCCCACAAUGGAACUGAAACACGGUCCAUACACCUACGGGUGGCAGCAGUAGGGAAUAUUGCACAAUGGGCGAAAGCCUGAUGCAGCAACACCGCGUGUGCGAUGAAGGCCUUCGGGUCGUAAAGCACUUUUCUGAGAGAUGAGAAAGGACAGUAUCUCAGGAAUAAGUCUCGGCUAACUACGUGCCAGCAGCCGCGGUAAAACGUAGGAGGCAAGCGUUAUCCGGAUUCACUGGGCGUAAAGCGCGUGCAGGCGGUUCGGUAAGUUGGGCGUGAAAUCUCCCGGCUCAACUGGGAGAGGUCGUUCAAUACUACCGGACUUGAGAGCAGAAGAGGAAAGUGGAAUUCCCGGUGUAGUGGUGAAAUGCGUAGAUAUCGGAAGGAACACCAGUGG
rnacentral:rRNA from 1 species